rnacentral:misc_RNA from 1 species
ACACACACACACACACACACGCACACAUAUAUAAUUCAGGCAAUUUAGACUAUGGCGCCUUGUUUCGAAAAGGCCUCGCCUCGCCUCGCCUCUCGGCUCUCGCAUCUCGCCUAAGGCCAUAAAGUCCCCUGUCGCCUUUUGCCUUGAUAACACUUGUGUGUUCAUAGGUUGGUUUGGAUUAAGGACAAAGUUCAUCCAAAACCAAACCAACCUUCAUUGGUUCUCUACAUUUCAGAACUAGAACUGAACAUUCUUAAAGAAAGAACAAAACAAAGCCAAAAUGAAGAAAUAUCAGUUAGUUUGGUUUUGGGAGUUGAAGAGUCAUACUCAAAGAGUGAACAAAUAAAUUGGUCAACCCAAGAACUACUUCUCUGCUCAAUUAUCUAAGGAGCUCAAGAAACAAAAGUGCCAUAGAGAACUAAAAGAUCACACAGUGAACAGGAGCUGACAGAAAAAUUGAUGGACAAACCCAGAAAGUAGAGAAAUCAAGUAGAUACUCACAUUUAAAUUCUAAAUUAAAAAGAAUGAACACCACCAGACAACCCUACAAAGCUAAAUAAAAUUUAAUCCUCCAUCAGGUCAUCAUAUAUGCAAUAUCUCACUUUUCAACCUACCAACUCCAAUUUUAUUAAAAUUCUAAAAUAUUUGAACAAGAGACACUCAAACAGCCCAAUAAUUUAGCCCUGGAAGCGCCUUUUAGAUUUGAUACAGAUCUUGGGGGAUCAUAAGAGAUAGACUUUUCCAAGAAGCAACUCACCAAGUAUGCCCUCACCUUUCUUGAUAUGAUACCUGUGAUGGCAUGGUAGUAAAAAACUGGGCCACCGGCUGCAAGAAGACCUAAGAAAAAUGGACCAAUCCAACCUGAAGGAGCCAGGUUGGUUUGGUUUGACGCAUCAAACCAAACCACCAGGCAACCACAGUGCGGAAAACACCAGGAAAAAAGCUUUUGAAGUUAUGAACCAGAAAAGCCAGGUAAAACCAGAAAAUUUUCCAGAAACCCGCAGCAGGGUCAAAUAAAACUCAAAAAGGGAUAUUGUGAAGGUUUGAAACUACUCAUUUAAAAAGUUGAAACUUCUGAAAAGUAAAGGUUGGAAGCAAAUGAGAUAUUAUAGACUAGCACAAUUUUACCAUCAAGGGGAAAAAAAAAAAUUCUAAAUCCAAGCAUAUGAAAUUGGACAUACACAAGUGAAUAACCUUGCUCGCAAACCCCAAAAGAGAUACUCUACAACCAAAAUUUCAAGUAUCAAACAUCUAAACGUGAUGAAAAUAUAAAGAACAUUCACAGGACAAUCAUUAUAUGUCCUUGUGGCAGAGUAGUGUAUACAACCUCAUAAUCAAAGUUGGGCAAUGAGAGGGUCACAAUGCUACAGAACAGGUGCUUAGACAAUCAAUUGCAUACACAUACAUGCAUAGAGUGUGUAAACCAGAAAGCAAUUAUUACUGUAAUUCGGAUCAACAGGUUCUCCCCAAACAAAUCGAUACCAAACCCAGUUAUCGUUAUACUUAAUCACUACUAUGGAGCUGCAACCAGGGUAAAAAAUAAAUUUUUGUUAAAUACCUUCUUCAAACCACAAGCACCUGUGGCUGAGUGGUCCAUCUAUCUGCCCUAACAUUAAUGUAUAAAUUCAACAAUUCAUACACAAGGUGUGCAAACGACCAGAAUGCUUACCGUUUGGACAGAGAUAAGAGCAUCUCUGACAUGAUAAACCAGCUCAGAAUCACUGAACUUAACAUCCUCCAUUUCGUGAAACUCUCCGUUAUGGGCCAAUUCUACACCCAUAUGGCUAAGGCUCCUUAACUCUCUGUUCUUCUAUUGUGUUGUCCACUAUCAAUGAACUGAGCUAGUGCGCUAAGUUGUCGGAGAAGUGCUGAGAGAGAAAAAGAAACGGUGGAUGAGUUGACGAGUGAAUUGGCGUAAAUAGGGUUGGGCGGCUGGCUCUUCCUCCUCCUACUUUGCUGUUUCGUUUAUUUGUUGUCGGCUGCGAAGGAGAAGCAAAGGGAGGCAUUG